CUAUUUGUUGCAAUCACAAAUGGCUCAAUCGCCGCAUGGGUAUGCAACCAGUGGCUGAUAAGCUGGUGAAUGCCAGAAUCAAUUACAGCCACAUAAGCUUUAGCCAGUUGCCAAAUGGAACCUUCAACGCCAUCUUCAGCUGGUGUGAAUACUUUGCUAAUGGGUCCGAGUUGAUCUCUCUCUGGAUGAGGCAGGCUUAAUUCAAUUGCAAGAGGCUUCAGAGUACCAUCACCUUUCAAGAAAAGUAAGGUCCUAGUUGCAUAUGUCUUUGUGGAAGUAGCAUUUAUACGCCUCAGGUAUGGCAUCACUGUGUCAUGGUGAUCUAAUAUGUAUAGCUUGUUGUUCUUGAUUGCCUCAUCUAUGGUCAAUCCGUCUAGGCUAUUAUUUAUGUGUUCUUCAGUUAUUUGACUGUUUUGAUCACCAUAAAGUUUGCCGUCUAGCUUGCUUUUUGGAGGGAAUUCCUUGAGACGACGAAUGAUGACAGGGUUUACACCAGCCAGCAUUUCUCUGCCAAAGUCUUCAUCAGUCCUCCAAGCAGUCUUGCUUUCUUUAAUUACUUGAGGCAUUGGAAAUUUGAAAAGCCGCUCCCCAUCGGUUCGGAAAAUUUCCUUGAGCAUCUCCAGUGGAAUGUUUUUCCUUAUAUUGUCUAGUAGGGGGCCAUCAGGCAGCUCAAUCCCUCCCUCAUAGAGCUUUAACACAUCAUCAAAAGAGUCAAAUUCAUUUGGGGUGCUGUCAAAUAGGGCCUCUAGUUCAGGUUUAACAAACUGAGCUAUUGAUUUCAGUGCAUAAGCAAGGAAGUCAGCCAUCUUUAAGUGGCCAAAUCGUUCAUCUCUUGGAACAUAAAUGUUCAAGCUCAUGAGAAGUGGCAGCCUGCUUUCAUAGUUGCGAUCUGAUUCAGCUGGUGGUCUGCCUGUUCUUCCCCUGCGAGGAUAAGGGUACUCAGCAGACCCUCCAAGAAUUGGGCGGACAUACUUUGAACCAUUAUCAGGAUCUCCCAAAUCAUUGUAGUAAGCAUAGUCAUAGACACGAUCCCAUUCUUGGAGCUCUGCUUUUCCAUCUCCUCUCAAGUUCACCAGUUCUUCCUCCCUGUACUUGCGCAGUGGUAUUGGCGUUUCAUGUGGGAGAUACGUCUUGUUUGCAAAGAAAAUACGAUCUUUCUUGUAUCGUUCGGCAGGGUAAACCCAUGAGUUGCAGACAA
rnacentral:misc_RNA from 1 species